rnacentral:tRNA from 1 species
GCUCCCGUAGCUCAGCUGCAUAGAGCGUCCGCCUCCUAAGCGGAAGGUCACCGGUUGGAGUCCGGUCGGGAGCA